rnacentral:rRNA from 1 species
AUACGUAGAUAUCAGGAAGAAUACCAAUGGCGAAAGCAGCUUUCUGGGCUUAUCCUGACGCUGAGGCACGAAAGCGUGGGUAGCGAAAGGGAUUAGAUACCCCUGCAGUCCACGCCCUAAACGAUGCUCGCUAAACAUUGGUCUCUUCCGACUUGUCGGGAGAAUCAGUGUUGUAGCUAACGCGUUAAGCGAGCCGCCUGGGAAUUACGGUCGCAAGACUGAAACUCAAAGGAAUUGGCGGGGACCCGCACAAGCGGUGGAGCGUGUGGUUUAAUUCGAUGAUAACCGAAGAACCUUACCAGGGCUUGACAUUCCGGCGACCGCUCUAGAAAUAGAGCUUUCCUUCGGGACGACGGAACAGGUGUUGCAUGGCUGUCGUCAGCUCGAGUCGUGAGAUGUAUGGUUAAGUCCCAUAUCGAGCGCAACCCCUAUCCUGUGUUAGAAACCCGAUUUAUCGGGAUGAUGUCGCAGGAAACUGCCUCGGAAACGGGGAGGAAGGUGGGGAUGACGUCAAGUCAGUAUUGCCCUUAUGUCCUGGGCGACACACGCGCUACAAUGGUCGGUACAAUGGGCCGCGACAGGGUAACCUUGAGUCAACCCUCAAAACCGAUCUCAGUUCGGAUUGGGGUCUGCAAUUCGACCCCAUGAAGCCGGAAUCGCUAGUAAUCGCCGGUCAGCUAUACGGCGGUGAAUACGUUCUCGGGUCUUGCACACACCGCCCGUCAAUUGGGAAAAGUUGGGAAUGCCCGAACCCGCCUCUUCGGCGGGGAAGGC